rnacentral:snRNA from 1 species
AUCUUGGCCCUUGGGGCAGUGACGUCGCUAAUGAGGUACUAACCUAAUGCGCGUCUAUUGCUGGUUGAAAACUAUUUCCAAACCCCCUCAUUUGAUCCUUGCGACCUUUGAGAAUUUCUGGAAGGGCUUUUAGUU